UGCUUUCUAUGAUGAUAUAUAUAUAUUACCUUGGGACACCUAUGAAAUAUGCCUUGAUUAGUGUAAAUUUUAAACUGACAAAC
rfam:Drosophila grimshawi strain TSC#15287-2541.00 scaffold_15110 genomic scaffold, whole genome shotgun sequence.